rnacentral:lncRNA from 1 species
AGCCUGGGCUUGAGCGCGCGCAGAAGUCAGCUUCGUGACUUCCUUCUCAGGAUGGAACCAGCUUGGUGGCUUGAGGGAAAGGGGUUCUGAGUUGCAAAUCAGAAACUUGAAGAUGAAAUGGCUACUACGCUGGGUAUUGCCUUUAUCUUGAAUGCCAGCCUGAUGGUCCAAGGUGAACAAGCCUUCCUGUGUUUUCUGAAUGUUCCCCCGCACUUUGCCUGCCACCAUGUAAGAUGUGUCUUUGCGCCUCCUUUGCCUUCCACCAUGAUUGUGCGGCCUCCCCAGCCAUGUGGAACGACACAACUCUUCACCAGUGCACAAAACCUGAUGAGAAGGAUACAGACUGGAUUUUGGUCCAGCUUGCUGCUUAACUAGGUUCCCUUGCACAACGCACAACCUGUGCAAUGAUUAUGCAGUGAAAUUGAUGGCCAUUACCUAACGUGGCUUCAGUGACCAUGUUUUCAAAACUGGGAGUCAGAGUGCAUGGCUUGACAUCAAGGCUUUGUGUCACAAAGCAGAAGAUCAUUAAUCUGGGAGUUGACAACAUUGGAAGCACCUAAACAAGUUGAUUAUUCAUACAAGAUUUUUUUCAAGUAUUCAUUUAAAACUAUGCAGUUAAAGGUGGUGCAUGUCCUGUUCUAAUUGGUAGGCUGGAAAUGAUGGUAUGGAGAUGUUGCACCACGUGGUCCCUUCACUAGAGGAAGAGUGGUAUGAAUCGUGUCCGUCACUGUGACACCAUGCAGUCUUCCUGGCAGUACACAAGUUGUGAGAGUUUGCUACCAUUUUUACAUUUUUGUGAUUUAAAGUGUUGAAUAACAAUUAAUAAUGUCAUACAUACUAAAAUAUUAUUUUUAUCAUUUUACCCUUUUUUAGAAUUUAGUACUUAAACUUUCAAGAUAUUGUUAAAACUGAUAUUUCAGACAGAAAUUCUAGGUAAAUGACAUCUACUGUAUUUUAAGUUGGGGGCAUCCUAGAAAACCUGAGAAAAGUGGUGGCCAAAUUCCUGACCCUGCCUCUGUCCCUCAGUGCUUUCUGUCCAGACCCUUAGAGCCCCUGUGAGUCCUGAACGCUGCUCUGGCCUGCUGGACACCCAGGCCAGUGGCCCCUUAGACAGGCUGGACAUGCCUUCGUCUCACAAGGAGGCUCACCAGUACACAGAUGUUCAUAGUCUUCACAGCAGUUCCCAUGCCAGAGACACCGGCGGUCACACUGGCAGGCAGCGUCCCGGUUAAAUUUCUCAUUACAUCGAGAUGCACAGGAUUCUAUUUUUCCUAUGGGCAGUAAAGGUCACCAACUCAGCUCUAUGGAGACCCUGUUCUCCCCAGGGUGCCUCCUGCAGGAGGGUUCACAGACCAGGGCAGGAGUGUACCUGGCAGGGAAGGGCAUUACUCUCUGCAAAGGAGAAGUACAUCCACAGCCUCCCAUGCACAACAUAAGCCUCCUCCCCACCACCCAAC